CUUUUAUUUCAGAUGACUCUGGUCCUCAAGCAAGAAAGCAUUCCAGGACGGAGUGUGUGUCUAGAAGCCCUGUCUGUCAGUAGACAUCACUGCCACCACCACCUGCAUAUGAGUCAACACCACACAGAAAACCAGCCGGUCGCCCAGAGCUGGAUGGGUGUAUUCUAACGCAAGCUUGGCCUGCCACUUCAUCUUGGGACCCAGUUGAAGGUACAGUGGCUUUUGCAUAACUUAAAUUAUAACAGAACUGACUUCUCUUACAAAAUGAGAUUGUACAAGCUCUCCACUUUGUUCCAUGUGUAUAAUUUGUGUUUUAUACGUUUUACAGCAACUUUUCCUGACAAACCCGGAGGUUCGACCGGAGGUACUGCCAUCCGUCGCAUGCUACGGCGAGUGGCAACCAAUGAUGUUCUAAAACUGUAUAUCCUGCGGGGCAGAAAAGGAAAGAAGGCCUUCCAGGACCUGACUAUCUGCAGGGUUAU